GAGUUUCUCUGUGUGGCCCUGGCUGUCUUAGAAAUUGCCCUGUAGACCAGAGUGGUCUUGAAUCCAAAGAUCCACCUAUUUCUGAAGCCUCCCCAGUGCUGGGACUAAAGGCACUGCACAGGAGAUGGGCUGAGAGGAAAGUGUUGAAAUUAGUGGUCCAGGGCUGGAGAGAUGGCUCAGCAGUUAAGAGCACUGGCUGCUUUUCCAAAGGUCCUGAGUUCAAUUCCCAGCAACCACAUGGUGGCUCACAACCAUCUAUAAUGAGGUCUAGUGCCCUCUUCUGGCCUGCAGGAAUACGUGCAGGCAGAACACUGUAUAUAUAAUAAACAAACAAAUAAAUAAACUUUAAAAAAA